rnacentral:ncRNA from 1 species
CAAAAGCUUGGUCCUGACUUUGUUAACAGCUCUAGCCAAAAUUACACAUGCAAGUAUCCGCGCCCCCGUGAGAAUGCCCUAUAAUCCCUGCCUGGGAAAUAGGAGCUGGUAUCAGGCUCACCCCUACCGUAGCCCACAACGCCUUGCUCAGCCACACCCUCAAGGGAAUUCAGCAGUGAUAAACCUUAAGCCAUAAGUGAAAACUUGACUUAGCCAUGACUAAAAGGGCCGGUAAAACUCGUGCCAGCCACCGCGGUUAUACGAGAGGCCCAAGUUGUUAACCCUCGGCGUAAAGAGUGGUUAGAGUACCCCCAUAAACUAAGGCCGAACACCUUCAGGGCAGUUAUACGCUUUCGAAGGCAUGAAGCACACCCACGAAAGUAGCCUUACUCCACUUGAACCCACGAAAGCUAAGACACAAACUGGGAUUAGAUACCCCACUAUGCUUAGCCCUAAACAACGACCCCGCCCACACUCAAACUCCGCCUGGGUACUACGAGCAUUAGCUUAAAACCCAAAGGACUUGGCGGUGCUUUAAACCCACCUAGAGGAGCCUGUUCUAUAACCGAUACCCCCCGUUAAACCUCACCCCUUCUUGUCUAACCCGCUUAUAUACCACCGUCGUCAGCCUACCCUGUGAAGGCCCAAUAGUAGGCAAAGCUAGCACAGCCCAAAACGUCAGGUCGAGGUGUAGCGCAUGAAGGGGGAAGAAAUGGGCUACAUUCUCUACCCAGAGAACAACGAAUGAUGUACUGAAAUGUACACCUAAAGGAGGAUUUAGCAGUAAGCAAGAAAUAGAGAGUCUCGCUGAAACCGGCCAUAAAGCGCGCACACACCGCCCGUCACUCUCCCCAAAGUACCUCUUACUUGUAAGUAAUAAUCAAUUAAUACGAAGGGGAGGCAAGUCGUAACAUGGUAAGCGUACCGGAAGGUGCGCUUGGAAAAAU